rnacentral:rRNA from 1 species
CUUAAGCCUUCACAUAAUAUUAAAUAUAUCUAUAGACUUAAAGCUCAAUCAAAUAGGGUACAGCCUAUUUGAAUCAGGAUACAGCCUUCAUCAGAGGGUAAUGCUAUAAUUAUGUGACCAAGUAGGCCUAAAAGCAGCCAUCUUUUAAAAAGCGUUAAAGCCUCCUCACAUACAACACUAAUCCCAAACCAAACCCAAAACCUCUUACCUAAACUGAAUGACUCCAUACCCAUAUGGAAGCCCUUAUGUUAAAACUAGUAACAAGAAUAACUUCUCCAAUAAAUGUAAGUGUAAGCCGAAAUGGACCACCCACCGGCACUUAUCGCUAAUGAGUCCAUAGUAAUAACCCCCCCCAAGAAAACCCUACUAUAUUCCGCGUUAACCUUACACAAGAACUUUCCUGGAAAGAUUAAAAAAGGAGGAA